rnacentral:lncRNA from 1 species
UUAACCGUGGGUUUUGCUGAUUUUGGUAUUCACAAAGGUGGUUUCAAAUGAAACCAUGGUUUUAACCGUGGGUUUUCGGCAUGAUUUUGAGUCAACUGUUUUAGGUGGUUUCAAACCGUGGGUUUUAGGAAAACCAUGGUUUUUAGGCACAUUGACCAAUCACAGAUCAGUAUUUCGGUACAUUGCUGAGCAAGUGCAGAGACGACGAUAAAUCAGCUUUGCACGAAAUGAAGAGGAGCGAAGCACUUAAAAUCGGUAUUUGCCGAGCUGUGAGAACAUCUAAAUUUUUGAAUGGAUGAAAACAUCUUACAAGUUAACAUGCACAGGCUGUCCUGAGAGACUAUUAAAGGAGGAUUGUAAGAGAGGAAUAUGCCAACAAGAACUGCAAUUAGGAGUCGUUGACAGGAGGAAACUUUUUAAAAGAGACCACACACUACCCCAUCAACAUUCUUGAAGAUGAUCCGAGCCUGAAGAUGGACAAAGGGCCUAGUGAUAGACUACCUUUCUGCAAGUAUUGACAAUUCUGCUUUUGUAUGGUGAUAAUUUCAGGGAAUACGUGGUGAUGAGGCAUCAGUGUUGCAAUCAUCUGUUUGUGAGACUUGAUCAAAGAUGUUUCGCAAGCCAUAGCAAGAAAAAAGAGGUUUUGUGAGAACUUCAACAACCAGAGAUGAGAUUGAGGCUACCCAACAACAACUGUAUGAGUGAUUGAUGGGACCCAUGUCUAUACAAGAAUUCCUGGAGGGAAACAAGCCUUGUACUUUCCUGAAGGGCAAGUCCACCCCAACAAAAAGUUUCUUUGAUAUAAUAGAGAAAAGUCCAAUGAGCAUAACACUGGACAUUUCAUCAAAAUUUGACGUAAAAUGAGAAAGUGUUGACAUUUUGAAGUUUCGCUUAUUUUCACAAAACAGAUAUAUGCACAUCCUGGUCAGUAUGCAAAUGAGUGACAAAGUGACGUUCUCCACUCAGUGUUUCUUUUUGUAAUAUACUAGUAUCAUGAUUUUUUCCCCCCCUCAUAAUGUGUAUAAAGUACAGGUGUAACAUGGUUUGAUUUCUCCCUGAAACUGUUGUAAAAAGCCAUUGUGGCAACCUAUACUCAAUUCGAUGAAGAGUUUUCUCAUAAUUGUGAAUUCUGUAAAAAAAUCAAGCAUUAUGAUAUACAUGUAUUUCUACAGAAGAAACAGUAAUUGCGUGA